CCGGAGAAUGUUAUCACGGGAGACACACGGCGGGUGCUAACGUCCGUCGUGAAGAGGGAAACAACCCAGACCGCCAGCUAAGGUCCCAAAGUCAUGGUUAAGUGGGAAACGAUGUGGGAAGGCCCAGACAGCCAGGAUGUUGGCUUAGAAGCAGCCAUCAUUUAAAGAAAGCGUAAUAGCUCACUGGUCGAGUCGGCCUGCGCGGAAGAUGUAACGGGGCUAAACCAUGCACCGAAGCUGCGGCAGCGAACGUAUCACUUAAAGCGAUUCAGCGGAUGACGAUUGACGGAGCGAAGCGACGUCAAAGCGUAUACAAAGUCGAGUCGGUUUAAGGAUACGUUCGUUGGGUAGGGGAGCGUUCUGUAAGCCUGCGAAGGUGGCCUGUGAGGGUUGCUGGAGGUAUCAGAAGUGCGAAUGCUGACAUAAGUAACGAUAAAGCGGGUGAAAAGCCCGCUCGCCGGAAGACCAAGGGUUCCUGUCCAACGUUAAUCGGGGCAGGGUGAGUCGACCCCUAAGGCGAGGCCGAAAGGCGUAGUCGAUGGGAAACGGGUUAAUAUUCCCGUACUUGGUGUUACUGCGAAGGGGGGACGG
rnacentral:rRNA from 1 species